GUUGAGAGGUGGGUGGGGUAGAAGAGAGGAAGGAGAAGAGGGAAGCUGACCGCCUUGCUUAUCUCUUUUCUGUUUCCUUCCUUUUGUAUCAGGGACUGGCACAUGUGCAGAGUACAAAGUGCCUCUGAUUAUGUUUCUUUCUAUGGAGAGGCCAAAGAGUCGGCUUCUGGGAAGUUCUGAUGAUUUGUAAUAGAAGUGCCUCGCAUAGACCGAAAUUCCCAAACCGGCUCCUGUCUGCCGACCACCUGGCCAAAGGCUGCCUCUUUCAGUUGGUUGAUAAAGCCAGGAAGCUGGGAUGUUCGGAUCCUGGGAUUCCUGGAUGCCACCUUCCUGACCUCUCAAACUGGACAACCAGAGCCUGCAAUCCCCUCACCUAGAACAGAAAGAAAAAACAAAUGCCCAGGUCAAGGACUUUUCAUCUCUCUUGGCGGCUCCACUGGAAGCACUGUUUCUUACCCGGUACAGGAAGUAAAGGAAGCCGACAAAGAAGGGAUGAGGCGACCAGCUAAGGCUUUUUGAAGUUCCCGUUCUGUGACUAGCUGAAAAAGGAAGAAGAGAGAUAAUCUGGACCCUGUCCAAAGGAACAUUACUAGGAUGGUUGGAAAAUUGUAAACGAACCAGGGAUGUUUGAAGAAGAGGAGAUAUUGGGGAGGACUCUCCAAUAAGGUGAGGUGGUGUCGUGUGUCAGAGGCAGCAAUAAAGAACUAAAACAACCAGAAUUAAAGGGAAAAUGGGAUGACUGUCAGGAUGCUCAGAGAUUAUUACAGUGAAUUAAGAAGGAAGUCUAAGACCGUAUGCAAAUAUAAACUAUAUUUUUCAUUUCAUUAUAUUUUGGCAUCAAAUUGAAAAGCCACUUGUUGCACUAACGACCACUGUUAGCGAUUUCUUUUUAAAUGAUAAGCAGAAAACUGUAACAGAUGAUCAAUCUCAGAAUCACAGACUCUCCCAGUUGGAAGGAGCCACCAUGGAGGCCAUACCUGGACCAGAAUCCUCUUUACCAAAAUUUGAUGAAUGUCUCUGCUUGAAGACCCCCAGGGAAAAGAAUGCUUGAAGACCUCCCAAAGCAGCCCAUCAGACAAUACCAACAUAGAAGAGCAGAAGGACUUCACUGGUCCCAGACAAAAAACACACAAAUGUAUAUGCACUAUUCCCCGCUUCCCCAUACACAAAGGCAAGAAAUGAAAUAAGUCAUCAAUUAAACUUCAGCUUUUAAUUUUGGAACCUAAACAUCGACUACAGGUGGAAUGGGACAUUCUCCAAAAAUAAAGCUUUAGUCAAAAUCCUGAAA